rnacentral:rRNA from 1 species
GACGAACGCUGGCGGCGUGCCUAAUACAUGCAAGUUGAGCGCUGAAGGUUGGUACUUGUACCGACUGGUUGAGCAGCGAACGGGUGAGUAACGCGUGGGGAAUCUGCCUUUGAGCGGGGGACAACAUUUGGAAACGAAUGCUAAUACCGCAUAAAAACUUUAAACACAAGUUUUAAGUUUGAAAGAUGCAAUUGCAUCACUCAAAGAUGAUCCCGCGUUGUAUUAGCUAGUUGGUGAGGUAAAGGCUCACCAAGGCGAUGAUACAUAGCCGACCUGAGAGGGUGAUCGGCCACAUUGGGACGGAGACACGGCCCAAACUCCUACGGGAGGCAGCAGUAGGGAAUCUUCGGCAAAGGACGAAAGUCUGAACGAGCAACGCCGCGGGAGUGAAGAAGGUUGUCGGAUCGUAAAACUCUGUUGGUAGAGAAGAACGUUGGUGAGAGUGGAAAGCUCAUAAAGUGACGGUAACUACCCAGAAAGGGACGGCUAACUACGUG